GGCCACCGGGCUCCGAUGGCCACCGGGCUUCGAUGGCCCCCAGCCCCGCGGAGGCCUCUGCGGGGUGGUCCCGGGUGUGUUUGUAAAGGGUCUGCUGUGAGAGGAAGGAACACCGGCUGCUGUGAAAAGCACAUUUAAUUGCUGGUAAUUAGGCUGUGCUGUCAGAGGACUUUUUAUUCCUUCAGAAACAGAUUUGCCUCCCUCAGACGAUCACGAGCCUGUCCCGGUAAGAUGUCUCCUUUUGCUACAACAUCUCCAGCUGAAAACUGUGCUGGGUAUCUGCUGCAGCUCCUGCUCCUCAGAUGCUCCUGCCGGGUCGCUGCUGUUCCUUGGGACCCUCCAACUGCUGGUGCUGGUCUCGCACAAACUGGUAACACUGGGAUUGGAUUCCAGGCUGAACUGGUGACGUUCCAUCCCCAUCAGGACUGCUGGCAAACGGGAGGCAAAUAACGGUGCUGAACGGAGCCAUUCUCCGGUUAAAAUUUCUCUGGAGGGUGAACGAGGUGAAACGGGGGAGUGGGACUGGGUUUCUGCUGAGCUCUUGGAUUAUUUUAUGCCUUUUGAGAUGAAAUAUUGGUUCUCCAGGAACUGGCUCUGCCUCGGCACCGCUCCCAUGGCCUGGAGCCACCCCUGCCUGCACCCCGAGCCCACAAACACCCCAAAAGCCACGGCAGGAGCCCAAGGAGGAUGCUCCCAGGUCAGCAGAUGGCUGGGAAGGUAAACGAGAGACUCUGGAUUUCUUUUACCACUGAUCCUGCAGAGCUCCUGCUCUGCCGGGACUGGGCUGGGAGACCCGGUGCCCACAGCCCAGCACCGCUGUCCCCACAGCCCGGUGACCCUGUGCUGGCACACAGGGUGUGGGGACCCUCACGGUGCUUUUCUACCUGUUUGGUGAAAUGCUGAAUGGUCUUUAGUGAAUCAGCCCGUGCUCCACAGCUCUGGAGCUGAAGUGGCUCCUGCAGAGGUGGGAACACAAACGCGCUGAAAAGCUCAAGUUUUCAUUCGAUACAAACCUCGAGUCCUUGGAGAUCCUGCCCUCUGCUCACUGCCAGCUGAGAUAUGGAUCUGAAAUGAUUGUUUGUAACUUCAUAAAGACACCAGAGCUGCCCUUAGGGCAGGUAAGGAUGGCCCAGCCCCAGUGCUGAUAGAAAUCAUUAAACCUGUGACCAUGAAGGGAAUGAAAGCUCCUGAUGAAAUGUGUGCUGAUACUGAACUAUUCUGCAUCCCACGACAUCAAAAUCAGGCAGGGACAGGAGUGCAGGGCUCCUGUGCAGGGUGUUCUACUCCCUGAUCUCCUGGAAUGGGCACAAAUAUUCCACAUUAACCAUGCAGGGGGGAAGGCUGCAGUGUGCAGAAUGUACAGGGAGACUCAGGAACUGGAAAUUCUGAGUUUCAUGCCAUCGUUUUGCCUCCUCUGCCCCUGUCCAAACACUAUCUGAUGCCUCUUCUGCCUGGUGCUUUCCUGUUUCUCUCCCUGAAUAAAGGCAUCAACAAAAUGCCAGGACAAGGUGUUUACACAAGGGCAGGGGGAGCAAGCAGUAACUCUUGGUUUCCUCUGUGUCUUUUUUCCUGGACCUUAAGGAAAUCAGCUUUUUUCUCAUUUGAAAAACUAAAUUAAUACCU